UCAUAAACUUUAUUAAUUCCAGAGAUAAAACUCAAACCCAACUCCUGAAUCCUAAUCUAUCUACCCUUCUAUUCAUUGUAUUUUGUUCUGCCAUAUGUAUCUCCUUAAAAUGUUUCUCCUUAGACACUUUCUAAUCAUGUUAUAGUUUAGUUCAUUUUCAUCAAAAUUGGUGAAAUUAAUUUUAUUUUCAAACUUAAAUUUUAUUUUCAAUAAACAAAAAAACUCACCCCUCUCCCUCCUUCUCCAUAAUAGCAUGACAGUCUUCCUUCUACAACCUACAUAUGUGUUGAGAAAGAAAGAAAACCAAAGCCCAUAUUAUGAAAUCAAGCAACAAAAAACCCCUCCUCAUGGGUAAUGUAAAAAUUAAUUGUCAAUCUUAAGGAGGAUGACAUAAUGUGUCAUGGUGCAGAGAAGUAUGAUGAGACAGAAGCCACUCCCAGUAAGCCUCUCAUUCUGCCAGAUUUCCAAGAAUACCUCCACACCAUCACCAAGACAUCCUCUACUUUCCUAAGGUUUCUCAUAUUAAGUUUUUACUUGCCUAUCCCUCUUACCUCCUUCUUCAUUUUCUCAUUCACUUCUUCUAUUAGACCUCUCAGAAUUCUUAUAGCUAUUGUGUUCUCUUUUUUUUUUCAAGUUCUAAUUAGAGUGAAUAUAGAUAUAUCUUCUUUUGGAAGUUGAUCCUGAAAUGCUCUUACUUCAUCUUAUUUCUUAACUGUAGAGUUUUUCUUUGCUCUUUUGUUUCCUGUCAUAUUGCUGGUUUGUGGAGUCCUAAUUCCUAAACUUAUCAUUUUUUAUUGAGGUAGGAUGUGCUUGAAAUCCUUCCCAAAGGAUACCUUUUUUUUUCAGAAAAUCCUGUAAUGUCCCUGAUUAAUAUCCAUCUUCCCCACAUGCUCUCAAUUAUAGAGCUGUUAGAAGCAUCAAAAAGCAAUCUGGGCUUCCACCUGGGGCACAGGAACAGAGUAGAUGAGUAAGUUACAGAGACUGAUGCUACCCACCUUCUGCUAGCUUCAGAAUUCCCUUCCUUUAAGAGCUUUUGAAAGCCAGAACCCACAGCAGAGGUAUGUGGAGGGAGAAGGAGUAGGUAAGCUAAAGCCAGAUGCUAGGUAGCUGGUGAAGGCUGGUGAAGAUAAUUGUCUGUCCAACUUGCUAUUUGUGUCAAACCUCUUAAUUGUAUAGCCACAAGAACUAGGCAAAAUCCACAGUAUAGUGUUAAAAUAUAAGUGAUAAAUAAAGCACAUAAUUAAUAGUGAAGUCUUUUACUA
rnacentral:lncRNA from 1 species